rnacentral:rRNA from 1 species
AUUGAACGCUGGCGGCAUGCCUUACACAUGCAAGUCGAACGGCAGCACGGGUGCUUGCACCUGGUGGCGAGUGGCGAACGGGUGAGUAAUACAUCGGAACGUACCUUAUCGUGGGGGAUAACGCAGCGAAAGUUGCGCUAAUACCGCAUACGCCCUGAGGGGGAAAGCGGGGGACCGUAAGGCCUCGCGCGAUUAGAGCGGCCGAUGUCUGAUUAGCUUGUUGGUGAGGUAAAAGCUCACCAAGGCGAUGAUCAGUAGCUGGUCUGAGAGGACGAUCAGCCACACUGGGACGGAGACACGGCCCAGACUCCUACGGGAGGCAGCAGUGGGGAAUUUUGGACAAUGGGGGCAACCCUGAUCCAGCAAUGCCGCGUGAGUGAAGAAGGCCUUCGGGUUGUGAAGCUCUUUUGUCAGGGAAGAAACAGCAGCUCUAACACAGUCUGCGAAUGACGGUACCUGAAGAAUAAGCACCGGCUAACUACGUGCCAGCAGCCGCCGCCG